CCAAAAGCGGUGGAAGUGGCCGGGGGAAAACGAGGGGUGCAAUAGUUAAUCGGAAUUACUGGGCGGAAAGCGUUCGCAGGCGGCGUAUUAAGGCAGAUGUGAAAGCCCUAGGCUCAACCUAGGAACUGCAUUUGAAACUAAGAAACUAGAGGAUCGUAGAGGGAGGGAGAAGUCCAGGUGUAGCGGUGAAAUGCGUAGAUAUCUGGAGGAAUACCAGUGGCGAAGGCGACCUCCUGGACGAAAACUGACGCUCAAGCACGAAAGCAUGGGGAGCAAACAGGAUUAGAUACCCGAGUAGUC
rnacentral:rRNA from 1 species